CUGGCUCAGGACGAACGCUGGCGGCGUGCUUAACACAUGCAAGUCGAACGAUGAUGCCCAGCUUGCUGGGUGGA
rnacentral:rRNA from 1 species